ensembl:lncRNA
CCAUCAGAAGACAAAAUUCAUACAAGCACAAGACUCACUGCAGAGGAACCAGUGUCCAGCGAGGAGCAUCUCAGCUGAGCACGAAACGAAAAAGAAAACCAUCAAGAUCAUUUAGUACACUUACAGUAGAACAAGAAGAAAUGAACAUACAAAUACCAACACCAGCAGUAGCAGUGACUGGGGUCUCCGUUCAGCCUGCUGUAUCGGUGGUUCAGCCCGCUGUAACGGUUGUUCAGCCCACUGUAUCAUUGGUUCAGCCCGCUGUAAGGGUUGUUCAGCCAACUGUACCGUUGGUUCAGCCCACUGUGGUCAUGAGUCCAAUGUCAGUGCUACAUAAGUCUUCAUUCUGACUCGAGAUGCUAACUUGUCUGGACAGCGAGAGUUAGCGAUGAGCAGCUCCAGAGUGGCAUUUAUCCUGAACAAUUUGGCUCUCGGUAUCGGCCUCACAGUCAUAACAGUGGUCAUUAUCAUUAAAUUAGUUCCUUGAACAACAUCGUUGAACAGAUGUUUUAUUCUGCAAAUGCAUCUAUUCAUACUGUAAAUGAUACUGUCAACUCAAAUCAAUGAUUUUUUGGAAGAAAUUAAAAAUAUUUUCCAGACCCUCUGAAGGGAAUGAUCUAAUGUACGCUUAUGUUUUAUUUCUUUUUGUAUGUAAUGCUGGCAGACUGAUAUGUUUGAUUAGCAGAAAUUAAAUGCUUUACUGCUUUUCUUUACUGCUAACAUCUAAAGACUCAUCUUUUUCGCCAGCACCAACUAAUACUAGCACUUACCUUUUCUUUUCUUGUCUAUCCUAUUCUUGGAAAAAAAAAAAAAAAAAACCUUGCUAUGAGUUCUGUGCUAGACUAACUGAGACUUGUCAUGGCACUUGUAUACUGUUGUUGUUCUCUCGUUGGUCUUAUUGGUUCUAUUGUUCUCAAUUAUAAGUCGCUUUGGAUAAAAGCAUCUGCUAAAUGAUUAAAUGUAUGUAAAUGUUUUCACUUAAAGCCGAUUUAAAAUGUUAUUUUUUUUUUUUUUUGGUAAAUUACACAUUAAAAUACAGCAUUGCACUAAAUACAUUAAUCGUUCUGGUCAUCUAUAGAGGAUUUCUCACUGGAGGAACAUUUUCAUAGUUCCUAGAACUAGAACUAUUGGCGGAAAAAUUCUCACUUUUUGGCGUGUUAGAACUGCAGGAACUAGGAACUUAUUGUUCUAGGAUCUCCGUUUGGGGGAAUUAAAUAGGGGUUAUGUGCAACGGACUUCUGCAUUCUGUUAAAUAGGUCUCACCACUUCUGGUUCAAGUAUUUUGCAUAUGCUUCAUUAAAUAUGAAGUUGUUUUACUCAAGAUUCCUUCAAAAGUAGAUACAAAUAAAAAAAAUUUUAUGCAGUUAUUUAAAGACCACAUGUCAUUGUUACCCAUAAGGAAGGUGACACCAGUGACAGUAACACCAGUGACAAUUUUCAUGAAAAAUGCAUUUUACUAAAUGGCUGCUGCAAGGUAUGAAACCACAUGUUGUUAUUCAUGGUGUACUCACUAAAUUAAGUAGUUUAAUCCAUUUGUAUUCCAUUUUAAUUAAUUUUUAUUUUAUUUUUUUACAAUUCCCUAA